rnacentral:rRNA from 1 species
CAGUCUCAGUUCAGAUUGUAGGCUGAAACUCGCCUAUAUGAAGUCGGAAUUGCUAGUAAUCGCGGAUCAGCAUGCCGCGGUGAAUACGUUCCCGGGCCUUGUACACACCGCCCGUCACACCAUGAGAGUCGAUAACACCCGAAGCCUGUAGUCUAACCGCAAGGAGGACGCAGUCGAAGGUGGGAUUGAUAAUUAGGGUGAAGUCGUAACAAGGUAAC